rnacentral:rRNA from 1 species
GAUCAUGGCUCAGGAUGAACGCUGGCGGCGUGCUUAACACAUGCAAGUCGAACGGGAAACAUUUCAUUGAGGCUUCGGCGGAUUUGAUCUGUUUCUAGUGGCGGACGGGUGAGUAACGCGUGGGUAACCUGCCUUAUACCGGGGGAUAACAGCCAGAAAUGGCUGCUAAUACCGCAUAAGCGCACAGAACCGCAUGGUUCCGUGUGAAAAACUCCGGUGGUAUAAGAUGGCCUCGCGUCCGAUUAGAUAGUAGGCGGGGUAACGGCCCACCUAGCCGACGAUGGAUAGGGGUUCUGAGAGGAAGGUCCCCCACAUUGGAACUGAGACACGGUCCAAACUCCUACGGGAGGCAGCAGUGAGGAAUAUUGGUCAAUGGGCGAGAGCCUGAACCAGCCAAGUAGCGUGAAGGAUGAAGGUCCUACGGAUUGUAAACUUCUUUAUACGGGAAUAAAGUAUCCUACGUGUAGGAUUUGUAUGUACCGUAUGAAUAAGCAUCGGCUAACUCCGUG